UCAUGUCUAUGUAGAGCGAGCACAAGCGCGAGCAAAAGGGCGCGGACUUUCGUUGACUUAACGGCCACAGGUGUCGCUGUUAACAAGACAUUUCUGAUUCUUACAAACAGUCCCUUUAAAGAAAUAAUCAAACAAACUAUUUACACAACUGGAUAAUAAAUGUUGAACUGAUGUUUCUAUUGUGUGUGUGUGUGUGUGUGUGUGUGUGUGUGUGUGCAUAGGGGAUCAUCACUGGAUGCUGCUGAUUGAUUAGCAGUAUUGACUAUCUGUUAUCUCAAGGUAUAUAUCAUCAUAUUGACAGACCUGAGUGUACGUGGAUGUGUGUGUGUGUCUAUCAUAGAAAUAUUUCUAUGGUGUCUAUAUCUGUAAAUUAACGUUUGUGUUACCACUAAGCAGAAAACCCCAACAGCAGAAGCAUCAAACUGUAACUAUGGUGGAUUUAUUGUUUAGUCUUUAUUAUGUAUGAAGAGUUCUGUGAUGCUUUCAUUGUUUUA